rnacentral:rRNA from 2 species
AGGGGUGAGGAUAAUGAGUUGGGUUCCACCCAGAUCCAUUCCGAACCUGGCAGUUAAGCCUUCUCAUGCUGAUGGUAGUACACUUCUUGUGUGCAAGAGUAAGUUUCGCCCCUU